GUGCUAGCUUUGGCAGCACAUAUACUAAAAUCAAUGAUAGAGAGAAGAUUAGCAUGGCCUCUGCGCAAGGAGGACAUAAAAAAAAAGAAAAAGAAAAAUAGGAAGU